GACGAACGCUGGCGGCGUGCCUAAUACAUGCAAGUCGAGCGGAGUUAUUCCUUCGGGGAUAACUUAGCGGCGGACGGGUGAGUAACACGUAGGCAACCUGCCUGUAAGACUGGGAUAACUACCGGAAACGGUAGCUAAGACCGGAUACACAACUUGAUCGCAUGACCGAGUUGGGAAAAGCGGAGCAAUCUGCUACUUACAGAUGGGCCUGCGGCGUAUUAGCUAGUUGGUGGGGUAACGGCUCACCAAGGCGACGAUGCGUAGCCGACCUGGGAGGGUGAACGGCCACACUGGGACUGAGACACGGCCCAGACUCCUACGGGAGGCAGCAGUAGGGAAUCUUCCGCAAUGGACGCAAGUCUGACGGAGCAACGCCGCGUGAGUGAUGAAGGUUUUCGGAUCGUAAAGCUCUGUUGCCAGGGAAGAACGCUUGGGAGAGUAACUGCUCUCAAGGUGACGGUACCUGAGAAGAAAGCCCCGGCUAACUACGUGCCAGCAGCCGCCGUAAUAC
rnacentral:rRNA from 1 species